rnacentral:rRNA from 1 species
UACGAAGGGGGCUAGCGUUGUUCGGAUUUACUGGGCGUAAAGCGCACGUAGGCGGAUCUUUAAGUCAGAGGUGAAAUCCCAAGGCUCAACCUUGGAACUGCCUUUGAUACUGGGGAUCUUGAGUCCGGGAGAGGUGAGUGGAACUGCGAGUGUAGAGGUGAAAUUCGUAGAUAUUCGGAAGAACACCAGUGGCGAAGGCGACUUACUGGACACAUAUUGACGCUGAGGUGCGAAAGCGUGGGGAGCAAACAGG